UGGGGAUGUUUUGGGGAUUUUUGGAAGUGAUUAACAAAAAGAAAUAGCUUACGGGCAAAAUAUACCUUACUAUUUAAUUUCAGAUGAUUCCAUUAAACAUACAUACGUAUAUAGUUACUAAUUAAACCAAACGAUCUCCACCGCUAAGACCAACAAAUUUCUUUUGUCUUGCCGAACCGUCGGAGAAAAAAUUUUACUGCUGUCAUUUAUUUCGUUUCAUUCGGGGCUCAGUUUUUGGUAACUCUUUAAAGUGGCGUUUGAUUUUUCCGACAUGUUGAAGUUUUUGAUAACAUUCGGUGCUGGUAUAUACACUGGAAUAUACAUAAGUCAAAAUUAUGAGGUCCCCCGUGUCGAUGAACCUGGCAAGCUGGUCGAUAAAAUAAAGGAAUUCGCUGACGAGCAUCGGAAAAAGUAAUGAAUUCAAAUCGAAACUAAUUGUACUUUAUUAAAAUCACUUCAAUAAAACAAGAACUUGAUACAACAAAA
rnacentral:misc_RNA from 1 species